rnacentral:rRNA from 1 species
GACGAACGCUGGCGGCGUGCUUAACACAUGCAAGUCGAACGAUGAAGCCGGAGCUUGCUCUGGUGAAUUAGUGGCGAACGGGUGAGUAACACGUGAGUAACCUGCCCUUGACUCUGGGAUAACUGCGGGAAACUGUAGCUAAUACCGGAUACGACCCUCGGAGGCAUCUCCUGGGGGUGGAAAGAAUUUCGGUCAAGGAUGGACUCGCGGCCUAUCAGCUAGUUGGUGAGGUAAAGGCCCACCAAGGCGACGACGGGUAGCCGGCCUGAGAGGGUGACCGGCCACACUGGGACUGAGACACGGCCCAGACUCCUACGGGAGGCAGCAGUGGGGAAGAUUGCACAAUGGGCGCAAGCCUGAUGCAGCAACGCCGCGUGAGGGAUGACGGCCUUCGGGUUGUAAACCUCUUUUAGCAGGGAAGAAGCGAAAGUGACGGUACCUGCAGAAAAAGCACCGGCUAACUACGUGCCAGCAGCCGCCGUAA